rnacentral:rRNA from 1 species
CCGGCGACCGGCGCACGGGUGAGUAACACGUAUGCAACCUGGCCGUGACAGAUGGAUAACCGGGAGAAAUCCCGCCUAAUACAACAUAAUGCCGGGAGGGGACAUCCCCUGCCGGUCAAAGGGGGCGACCCCGGUCAUGGAUGGGCAUGCGGCGCAUUAGGUAGUUGGUGGGGCGACGGCCCACCAAGCCGACGAUGCGUAGGGGUUCUGAGAGGAAGGUCCCCCACACUGGUACUGAGACACGGACCAGACUCCUACGGGAGGCAGCAG